rnacentral:lncRNA from 1 species
UGCUCUUGGAAACCCACACUGGGAAGACCUGAAAAUAUCACAGAACCUGAGGACCUCCAGACAGCUGAACCACAGUUAUUCGUUUUUGACCAUGUUUUCUAUGCUUCCUUAUUACUUUUAUCCACCUCCUGCUGCCCUUUUAAACGAUUUUACAUUUGAAAGCAGCUGCUGUCAAGGAAAAAAAAAAAAAAAACAGAUUCAAAAAGCAGGCUGUUUUUAAAAGGAUUUUUAAAGCUGACAUUGUGCAUGUCUAUGCCAAACCACACCAUGACAGAUGCAAGAAUUAUGAUUUUUAAAUUAUUUAAAGGUUUUUUUAAGUGUAUUAUACAGAGAAAAAUUAUUUCAUGUAUAAUAGUCUAUCUAUAGCUCUUGCUGAUCUCAUGUUAACAGUUUAUCAUAUAUGAGAGUCUUUAAACAUAGAAUCUAUUUAAAACUGCAAAACUAUUGAAAAUCCAAUCAAUAUUAGAAAUAAUAUUAUAAUCAAACGUAUAUCACCUCACCUAUUGCUUUCUCUGUACUCAUUUACAUUUAGUCUUCCAUUCUGUCAGAAUCUAAGAGCUGCAACAUAAAAUAUCUUAAUUUAUAAUGCAACAAAAAACAUAUAUGAAAAGUAUUUAAGUUUUGUAAAUACACAGUAAUCUUAAAACCUUCAUACAAUGCAUAUGGGCAUCUAAUUUCCUUUUGAUCCAAUGGUGUCUUUUUCACUUCUUGGAGAAUGAAGUAAUCCAGUUAGGAAAUGGUAUAGUAACCAUAUGCAAUUACCCUCAAAUGUAAAAUUGAAUAUUAUCAUAUUUUGUUCUAAUUGAAAUCUGAAGCAUGAUGUCUGCACAUCAGCAUAGUGUUAAAUCUUAUAGGGCAUGCUGGAAUUAGCUCAGAUCGUAAAAAUACUUAACAUUUUACAUUGUUAAUAAAAAUCCUUUUAGUUAAGCUAAGCUUGUCUCAUUUUAGAUGACUAUGCAGAUAGGACUUUUCCAGUGUGUACUUGGUGUCUUGUCUUAUGCUUAGAAUCUUAAAAGCAGGACACAUUAAGCAAUACUCUCUUUUAGAAAGGAGGAAGCCACAAGCUUUGUUUUUCUGCUCACAGCUUUGUUGUGAUCUUCCUCCACUAAACUGGUAACAUGGUACAGAUCUUGUUAUAUCUUCCCUUGUUCUUCCUUUGGCCCAUUUCCCAGACAGAAUUUCCCAUGGGUUGAAAGAUCAGGCCUUUGGACUUGUUUUCUUGUUUUCCAUAGUCUGAAAAUUCCUAAAGUCAGACCACAGGCACCAGUGUCCUGCACAAGAAAAGGGCUGCAAGGAGAACAUGAGGGUGGAAGCUGAAACCACAGUCUUGGACUCAGAAAUGGACACCACAUGAGGAUGACAGAAGCGCCUUAGGAGAGGUCACCUACCUCAUAUUUGUGUCUGUUUAACUAAUUAAUAACUUCUGUCUCACUUAAGACAUUAAUAGCAUGAAUCUUUAUACAGAAUUUACUCACUGAAUUAACUUUUGUCAGCCUAAGUUUCCUGAGGUUAAAAUGGAAAUAAUUUAUCUAUAUCACAAAAGGUUCAAUCAAAUGACUGUGCAAUUACUUGUUUAGAUCAAAGCUCUUUUAUGAGAAUAAUCAAACCAAUCAAACACUGCAUGAUACUAUGUUGCAGAACAACAGACAAAGGGAAAUCUUUGAAAUAAACAGUGCUUGUAAAUC